AGGUUACUGCUAUCGGUGUUCGCCUAAGCCAUGCGAGUCAUAUGUUCUUCGUGAACAUGGCGUACUGCUCAGUAACACGUGGAUAACCUGCCCUUGGGUCCGGCAUAACCCCGGGAAACUGGGGAUAAUUCCGGAUAACGCACAUAUGCUGGAAUGCUUUAUGCGUCAAAUGGAUUCGUCCGCCCAAGGAUGGGUCUGCGGCCUAUCAGGUAGUAGUGGGUGUAAUGUACCUACUAGCCUACGACGGGUACGGGUUGUGAGAGCAAGAGCCCGGAGAUGGAUUCUGAGACAUGAAUCCAGGCCCUACGGGACGCAGCAGGCGCGAAAACUUUACAAUGCGGGAAACCGUGAUAAGGGGACACCGAGUGCCAGCAUCAUAUGCUGGCUGUCCGGGUGUGUAAAAUACACCUGUUAGCAAGGGCCGGGCAAGACCGGUGCCAGCCGCCGCGGUAACACCGGCGGCCCGAGUGGUGAUCGUGAUUAUUGGGUCUAAAGGGUCCGUAGCCGGUUUGGUCAGUCCUCCGGGAAAUCUGACGGCUUAACCGUUAGGCUUUCGGGGGAUACUGCCAGACUUGGAACCGGGAGAGGUAAGAGGUACUACAGGGGUAGGAGUGAAAUCUUGUAAUCCCUGUGGGACCACCUGUGGCGAAGGCGUCUUACCAGAACGGGUUCGACGGUGAGGGACGAAAGCUGGGGGCACGAACCGGAUUAGAUACCCGGGUAGUCCCAGCCGUAAACGAUGCUCGCUAGGUGUCAGGCAUGGCGCGACCGUGUCUGGUGCCGCAGGGAAGCCGUGAAGCGAGCCACCUGGGAAGUACGGCCGCAAGGCUGAAACUUAA
rnacentral:rRNA from 1 species